GAUAGCUUGCAAUGUUCAGUUUGCUGCUUGCCAGGACUUCUCAACUUCCUUAGGACCUGCCCAUCUGCUGUGCAAUACUGGAUGCAAAAUGUUAUUUUUAUCCAGGACUGAGCAUAGCCCAACAGCCCUUGUUGUUACAAUUAAGCUAUGUGCUACUUUCCAUAACUCAUUAGCCCUUUAGCUUCUGGAUUAAUUCAAUGUGCAAAUAACGUCACAAAUUGAAUAUUACUGGACUUCUAUUGAGUACUAAGCGGCAGUGAACACACAUUGCUGUGUCUUCGUUCUGCUUUGCACAACGGUGUUUUGUGCAGCCUAUCAAGCAGCUCGUUAGCCUCCUGGGAGCUCAGUGCCUUCUUUCCAUGCUGGUGUGGUUAUUUUUUGUGUGGUAACCCAGAUAUUAGAACAGAAAUGCAACGACUGCAUGGAAAAGUGGGGAUAGGCAAAAUGAAGCUCCUUUACCACAUCUAGCUCUUAUACAGCUUUUGGGUGGGAUUGCUUAACCCAGCCUAGGCACCCGUAUUACUGAAGUGCAGAAAAGCAAGCUUUGCUAUGGGUGUCAGCCAGAGGUCCCCAUGGGAUGCCAGCACUGCCCGGGGCCUUGGGCUGGGUUUGGGGCUGAAGGAUUUGUGAUGCCAACACACUCCCAAAGCUCCAAACCUCAAACCUGUCAGUAGUGCCAACGUGGGGAGAAUGGCUCCAUGCCAUGGGAACCUCCACAGCACAGCUGAGCUGAUGGGUGCAGCUUUCUUUUAACGCGCUGGAGUGGAGGCAAAUUUCAAUCUAAUAAUGUAAAGCAGCAAUAACCAUUAUAAUUAAUUUAUAUAAAAGACAUUAUAAAAUUACACUUGGUGCAUUUAAAUCCCAUCUAGGAGCAAUGGUCGUUUUCCAGUUAAGCUAUGGGCUGUGCUAAGGCAGACGGGGAAAGAGAUUCAGCGUUGACAGGGGUUGUUCCGAAUGUAACAGGAUCCCGUGGCAGAUGUAAAUCAGACUGCAUGCAUUUGCCUCGCGUUUCAUGAAGGAGGUCAGUGUGGGG
rnacentral:lncRNA from 1 species